UGUUCCGCACCCAACAUCUUUACAUUUGCAUAAGUUAUCGGCGAAACGAGACGGUGCAAAUAGAGAUUAACGGUCGCGAACAGAAGUCACGUGUGAGACUAGAAAAGCAGCAGUGUCGGCGUCGUUAGUAUUAGUUAUUAUCUGCCGACCUUCUUUCGCAGAGAACGCUGUCAUCCAACCACACUUCCGAUCCCACUAACUGCAAACUCAAAGAACAUUUCGAUGAUUCUUCUUCGUUUUACCAAGCUGAUAUCUAUGCAGGAAAUACAUUCGAUGAGAAACGAGAACUCGUUUAAUUAAUUGUGGACUCAAAGUACAUUUUGAUGAUUCUUCGAUGAUGCGACGAAGCAAUAAUAAUCGAGCUGAGACAAGUGGAAAAAUAACAGAUCGAAAUAUAUGUGUAUUAUAUUAACUCUGUAACAUAAUACGAUAUUCCAUGGCCAGAAUAAAGCCAGACAGACUAAUUAUCAUGGAUACUAAUUUAAUAACUGUACAAUAAUAGGUAGACUGUAAAUGUUUAUGGAAAACAUGAAGGUGCAAAACUGUACGCAACAUGCAAGGAUAUAGAAACUAUGCAAAAUAAAAUAAGCUUAAAAUAAAGUGAAGUAUGUAAAAUAAA